AUGAGAGACUCGUUCCCGCGCUCCUCCACUGCGCCCCUCGACUGGGCGGGACUUACUCACCCGAGUUCCCUCGGCACCGCCGGGAGGCGCAGGCCGGGCCGGGGAGGGGCGGGGAAAGCGGGGUGGGGCCCGCAGGCUGGGGGAGGAGCCGGGGGAGGAGCGACGAGGCCGGGCCCUUUAAGGGGCGGGCCGACCCCCCCCAACCCCACCCCGGGGCGGCGCAGGCGCAGGCGGGCUCGGGGCGCUCGGCAGGAGGGACGGCGGGCGGGCGGGCGCUCACCUGCGGGGGCCGGCGCGGGGCGGGCGCCCGGCGGGCGGACGUUGACGCCCGGAGGCGAGGGCGGGGAGGCGGGCGCGGGACUCGGGGGCGGCCCGGGGCGGGAGGGCGGUGUGAGCGGGCGCCGAGGGCAGCACCAUCUGGAGGGGAGGGAGCGCGCGGCCUCUGGGGGGCAAGCGAGUGCGCUGGGCCGAGCCGGUCGAGGGCCCCCGGCGGGGCGAGCAGGAGGAGCGCGGCGGGCUGAGCCCCGCGCUGCCGGAGCAGCAGCCGCAGCGCGUCGGGGUUCUCAGCUGGGGCCCGCAGGAGGGCCGGGGGCCCCGCGGGCAGCACCAGGAGAAGGGCGGAGGCAGCCCCGCAGUGCAGGAGCGCGGCGAGGCCCGGGCCGGGGUGCAGGAGCGCGGAGAGGGGAGCCCGCGGAGGCUGCUGCAGCAGCCCGAGCCGGCGCCCGAGGCCGGGGAAGGCCCCCGCGAGCGCGGGGAGGGGCCGGAAAGUUCCGGCGAACUGGGGGAGCGGCAGUGGGAGAGCGUGGGGCGGGAGGCGGUGGUCCUGGGAGCGGCCCCGGAGCGCCGAAGCCGCCCGGAGCUGGUGGGGAGGGCCCGGCCGGUGGGGCCCCGGGGGCCUGCGGGGGAGGGGCGCCUGGGGGUGCAAGAGGCGAAUUGGCUGCCCGGAGUGCAGGAAGGACAGGUGGUGCGGGCUGUCCAGGAAACCUACCUGAACGGAAAGGAGCCCCAGGAGGGAGAGGGGCCCGGCGAGGGGCCCCGGACCCGGAGGCGCCGGCGGAGGAGGAGGUGGUGACUGGCAGGCCGCCCGGGCCCCACGGUGCCUCCGGAGCUGAAGGGAACGCAGGAUGUAGGGGCGUGGGGAGUCGGGCACAGAAGAGUGCGGGGAACCGGGGAGCUCUGCGAGCCACUGCCUGA
rnacentral:lncRNA from 1 species